rnacentral:tRNA from 1 species
GGGCCGCUAGCUCAAUAGGUAGAGCAGUUGACUCUUAAUCAACCGGUUCACGGUUCGAGCCCGUGGCGGCUCACCA